GCAGUUCCAAGGGAAAUGAAUAUGAAAGGAAGCUCAGAGUUAUGAAGCCUGAGGUGACAGGCACAGGACAAGGAAGCCACAGACAUCAAAGCCCGAGCCAAGGCUAUGCUCAUCUGUGGAUCCUUGGCUAACUUCCAGGGGAAGUAGAAGGAGAAGGGGAUGUCGAUGGAGCCACCCUGGACUCCAGAGCAGCGUUCAGGUUGGU
ensembl:antisense Gm43495 predicted gene 43495